AGACAAAUGAAAUCAAUAUCCAUAUUUGAAGUUAAAUAUCCUUUAGGUAUCCAAAACAAGCUAGGAUACAAGGCAGACAGCAGUUAAGCGGCAACAAAUAUAUUCCUACCACUUCAAAGAUCUGAUAAUUUCAAAUCUUGACGUAACUUUGUCCACACUAUGUGCUAAGCACAAGGAACUUUACCAAAGCUCCAUAAAAAUGGCAU
rnacentral:misc_RNA from 1 species